rnacentral:rRNA from 1 species
AUAAGGGCUAACGGUGGAUACCUAGGCACACGGAAGCGAAGAAGGACGUAGUUACCGACGAAACGCUUCGGGGAGCGGGAAGCAAGCAUUGAUCCGAAGAUAUCCGAAUGGGGCAACCCUAAACACGACCACCUGAAUACAUAGGGUGGAGCGAGCAAACCUGGUGAACUGAAACAUCUUAGUAGCCAGAGGAAAAGAAAGCAACAGCGAUUCCCCCAGUAGCGGCGAGCGAAAAGGGAACAGCCUAAACCAAGUUCUUCGGAACUUGGGGUCGUGGGACAGUAACAAAAGACUGGGAAAUUUAGACGAAGCGGCUGAAAACCGCACCAGAGAAGGUGAAAGUCCUGUAGUCGAAAAAGGAACCAGCUUAACUGCAUCCCGAGUAGCAUGGGGCACGUGAAAUCCCGUGUGAAUCUGCCUCGACCACGAGGUAAGGCUAAAUAUUCCCGUGUGACCGAUAGAGAAACAGUACCGCGAGGGAAAGGUGAAAAGAACCCCGGAAGGGGAGUGAAAUAGAACAUGAAACCGUUAGCCUACAAGCAAUGGGAGGACGAUUGAACGUCUGACCGUGUGCCUGUUGAAGAAUGAGCCGGCGACUUACAGGUUAUGGCAGGUGAAGGGGGAAGACCCCACAGCCCCAGCGAAAGCGAGUCUGAAUAGGGCGAAAAGUCAUAAUUUGUAGACCCGAACCCGGGUGAUCUAACCAUGGCCAGGAUGAAGCUUGGGUAAAACCAAGUGGAGGUCCGAACCGACUAAUGUUGAAAAAUUAGCGGAUGAGCUGUGGUUAGGGGUGAAAUGCCAAUCGAACUCGGAGCUAGCUGGUUCUCCCCGAAAUGUGUUGAGGCGCAGCGGUAGUGGAAGUUUAGUCGGGGUAAAGCACUGUUUCGCCGCGGGCUGGGAGACCGGUACCAAGGCGAGGCAAACUCUGAAUACGGCUAAAAAAACUACCAGUGAGACGGUGGGGGAUAAGCUUCAUCGUCAAGAGGGAAACAGCCCAGACCACCAGCUAAGGUCCCCAAAUGAUAACUAAGUGAGAAAGGAGGUGGGAGUGCAUUGACAACCAGGAGGUUUGCCUAGAAGCAGCAAUCCUUAAAAGAGUGCGUAAUAGCUCACUGGUCAAGCGCUCCUGCGCCGAAAAUGAACGGGGCUAAGUUAUCUACCGAAGCUGUGGACUACAUUGUAGUGGUAGGGGAGCGUUCUAUAGGGGGUGAAGCAGUAGCGGCAAGCAGCUGUGGACUCUAUAGAAGUGAGAAUGUCGGCUUAAGUAGCGAAAAUGUGGGUGAGAAUCCCACACCCCGAAACCCCAAGGUUUCCUCCGCAAGGCUCGUCCGCGGAGGGUCAGUCAGGACCUAAGGCGAGGCUGAAAAGCGUAGUCGAUGGACAACGGGUUAACAUUCCCGUACCGAUUAAUGAUUGUGCCGGAGAACGGAGAAGGUCAACGUCAGCUGGAUGUUGGUUACCAGUGCAAGCAGUCGAGGCGAUGAGAGGUGGAGAAAACACCAGGAGCUAAGACGCGAGUCCCACCUCCCACGGGAGGGAAGUGGCGCUGAUCAAGCUUCCUAGAAAAGCCCGAACCACGUUAAUCAUUAAUUGCCUGUACCCGAAACCGACACAGGUGGGGAAGUAGAGAAUACUAAGGGGCGCGAGAUAACUCUCUCUAAGGAACUCGGCAAAAUGACCCCGUAACUUCGGGAGAAGGGGUACCCUCGCAAGAGGGUCGCAGUGAAUAGGCCCAGGCGACUGUUUACCAAAAACACAGGUCUCCGCCAAGUCGUAAGACGCAGUAUGGAGGCUGACGCCUGCCCAGUGCCGGAAGGUUAAGGAAGUUGGUCAGGAGUAAUCUAAAGCUGACGACCGAAGCCCCGGUGAACGGCGGCCGUAACUAUAACGGUCCUAAGGUAGCGAAAUUCCUUGUCGGGUAAGUUCCGACCCGCACGAAAGGCGUAACGAUCUGGGCACUGUCUCGGAGAGAGACUCGGCGAAAUAGGAUUGUCUGUGAAGAUACGGACUACCUGCACCUGGACAGAAAGACCCUAUGAAGCUUUACUGUAGCCUGGAAUUGGCUUCGGGCUUCGCUUGCGCAGGAUAGGUGGGAAGCUUUGAAACUCUCCUCGUGGGGAGAGUGGAGCUAACGGUGAGAUACCACUCUGGCGAGGCUAGAAUUCUAACCCUAGAUCCUAAUCGGGGCGGGAGACAGUUUCAGGUGGGCAGUUUGACUGGGGCGGUCGCCUCCUAAAAGGUAACGGAGGCGCGCAAAGGUUCCCUCGGUCCCGUUGGAAAUGGGACGAUAGAGUGCAAAAGCAGAAGGGAGCUUGACUGUGAGACCCACAAGUCGAACAGGGACGAAAGUCGGCUUUAGUGAUCCGACGGCACCGCGUGGAAGGGCCGUCGCUCAACGGAUAAAAGUUACUCUAGGGAUAACAGGCUGAUCUCCCCCAAGAGUUCACAUCGACGGGGAGGUUUGGCACCUCGAUGUCGGCUCAUCGCAACCUGGGGCUGAAGUCGGUCCCAAGGGUUGGGCUGUUCGCCCAUUAAAGCGGUACGUGAGCUGGGUUCAGAACGUCGUGAGACAGUUCGGUCCAUAUCCGGUGUAGGCGUAAGAGCAUUGCGAGGAGCCUUCCUUAGUACGAGAGGACCGGGAAGGACGCACCGCUGGUGUACCUGUUAUCGUGCCAACGGUAAACGCAGGGUAGCCAUGUGCGGAGCGGAUAACCGCUGAAAGCAUCUAAGUGGGAAGCCCACCUCCAGAUGAUUGCUCUCAUGGCAUUAAGCCAGUAAGGUCUCGGGUAGACUACCCGUUGAUAGGCUCUAGAUGGAAGCUCGGUAACGAGUGCAGUCGAGGAGUACUAACCGACCGAGGGCUUGACCU